GCCUGACUUUUGAGUGUUUGGUGAGCAGACCGGCUAGCUACUAGUGUGAACCAGAUACCCUGGUAGAAGUGUGGAGUUUUGUGCACAUACACUGCCUGCCUGAUAUUGUGCUUUGCCCCAUGUGCUUGCUUAUGAAAGGUGUUGCCAGCUGUCUAAUAAAUAAGGAGUGAGCUCUU